GCCCAAUGCUCUUCCAACUGAGCUACGCGGUCAGGACGGUUCGAGUAAGUGAUAUUUCGGAACAGUAUCUAGUUCCUUCAAUACGAAUGUGUUCUUGUCAUAUGAAUUUUUUUUCUGUGCUGGUGUUGUGUACUCAGGUGAAUAAUAUGUUUUGGGAUGUUACUCUGAGUGCAUAUCCACACCGGGCGAGCUUGAAAAAUAUGCCCGGCCACGGUGGGAUUCGAACCUACGAC
rnacentral:lncRNA from 1 species